rnacentral:rRNA from 1 species
UACGUAGGGGGCAAGCGUUGUCCGGAAUCAUUGGGCGUAAAGAGCGUGUAGGCGGCCAGAAAAGUCCGCUGUGAAAACUCGAGGCUCAACUUCGAGCUGUCGGUGGAAACUUUCUGGCUAGAGUCCGGAAGAGGAGAAUGGAAUUCCUGGUGUAGCGGUGAAAUGCGCAGAUAUCAGGAAGAACACCCGUGGCGAAGGCGGCUCUCUGGCCCGGUACUGACGCUGAUGUGCGAAAGCGUGGGGAGCAAACAGG